rnacentral:rRNA from 1 species
ACCGAAGUGGACGAACCUCUGGUGCACCAGUUGUUUCAUCAGAAGCAUCGCUGGGUAGCUAUGUUCGGAAAGGAUAAGCGCUGAAAGCAUAUAAGUGCGAAACCUGUCCUAAGAUUAGUUCUCCCUAUCAUAUUGAUAAUAAGGCUCGUUGUAGACUACGACGUUGAUAGGCCACAAGUGUAAGUGCAGUAAUGCAUUCAGCUGAGUGGUACUAAUUGGCCGAAAGGCUUUAUCAA